GAAGAAACAACCAUAGAACGACAGUGGUAACUUACUUGUCGAAUUAUUGCACGCGCAUAGGUAGAAGACAAUAUGAAGUUUCCGUGGAAUCAUCGAUAAACAAACUUUUUUCACCACUAGCCUUAAAUAUCAAUAGAUGUAUAAAAGAACUCCUUGUAACAACAGGAGUAAUCCAAUCAGUUUUAUUCAUUAAAAACAAACCAAAACUACUUCCCAGUCAAGUAUCUACACUAACUAAAACUACUUCUCAGUGGCGGAGCCACCCUUACCCAAGGGGUGUUAAUCGACACCCUAUCGCCGGAAAAUAACACCAUAGUAGAUAGAUAUUUUAGAUAUGUUUUUCUUAAAAAUUGAAUAUUUACAAGGGGUUGACAACCCUUGACAUAAGACAAACUCUUAGUGCAAUGAUUAAGGGGUGUCAAAAAUUACAGAAGGUUGCAAGUUUCAUUCCCCAUAGUAGCAAUUUUUUUUGACACCCCUUUGUAUAAUUUCUGGCUCCGCCACUGCUACUUCUCUUUCGACAAACCAUAAAACCAGAACCAAAAGAGAUGGCCUCCUUCACAUAUUCAUUUGGCAGUCACUUCAUAAAUCGUGAAUCUGAUUUUAGUGGUCAAUGAAGUGAGACGAGAACCAUAAGGUCUCAAAUUCAAAUCUUAUCGAAAUCGCAUUCCGACCCCGAUAUCGCAUAAGUCAAUUAUGGGUCAAGCUUCUUCAUAUUUCCAACUUCAACUUUUUUCCAAUUUCCGCUAAAAUGGCUCAAAUUCUACGGACCACCAAAUCUGAAUCCAGACGCGCGCCUAAGUCCAAAAUCACCAUAAGAAGUUGUUGAGAUUAUCCGCAACCCAUUCCGGGUCCGUUUACCCAAAGUCCAAUUCCAAUCAGCUUUUCACCGUUCAAACUUCCAUAACUAAAUUCCUUCUUCCAAUUUGACUCUAAACCAUCCAUAAACUGAAUUCCACCAUGCACGCAAGUCGAUACUCAUAUUCUGAAGCUGUUCGAGACCUUACGCCGUUAAACGAAGCUUAAUUUCUCAAAACGACCGAUCGGGUCGUUACAUCCUCCCCCUCUUAAAACCAAUAUUCGUCCUUAAACGUGCUAAGAUUCGCCUUGAAAUCCUCAAGCAACUGAGUACACACUUCCAACAUACACCCGCGGGUGAUCCCACGUCACCCCAAUCCACAUAAGCAUGGCGACAACAUCUCAACUGAAAUUUAGCCUUUCUAGCAAUAUCAAAAAACCUUCAAGCCAGAAUUCUCACAGACUCAAACUAUAUUUGGAAAAUGCUAUCAAAUAAAAAGUAGGACAAGUCCUUGCUACUUGUAACACUGGAAAAGGUCAACUUUAAAAGUAUGGAGCAGUCAAAUAUAGAACACACAUAGAUUUAUCUCCAUAACACACUAUAAGAGAAUCAAUAUCUAACAGCAUCGCAAGUAGUGUGACAUAAGUCAUAUCCUAUAGUAUUCAAUUCCAUGCACAUCAUACAACAACAACUCAAUAUAAUCCCACUUAGUGGGGUUUGGGAAGGGUAGUGUGUACGCAGACCUUACCCCUACCCUGGGGUAGAGAGGCUGUUUUUAAAAUAUCUUUAAUCUUUAGCCACUGCUUUAAUAACUUUAACUUCCCGGACGAAACUACAAUUCUGCUCAUGUCCUUAACUUUUGAACUUAACUUCAGCACUUCAGAAAAACAUGUCAUUGAUUUUGAACUUGUAACUCUAAGUUUAGGACUUCAGAACUGCAUUUCCUUAACUUUUGAACUUGUAACUGUAAGUUCAUGACCAAGUGUCCUUAACUUUUGAGCUUGUUAGUCUAAGUCAACAACAACAACCCAGUAUAAUCCCACUUAGUGGGGUCUGGGAAGCGUAGUGUGUACGCAGACCUUACCCCUAUCCUUGGGUAGAGAGGCUGUUUCCAAAUAGACCCCCGUCAUCCUUCUCUCCAAGAAUUUCCCACCUUGCUCUUGGGAAAACUCGAACUCACAACCUCUCGAUUGGAAGUGGGGGUUGCUUACCAUCAGAGCAACCCCUCGGUUGGAGGUGGGGUUGCACAUCAUACUUUAGUGCAAAUCCUAGCUCCAAAAUAAGGCAGCCCCAUACUAGGGAAACAACAUAAAGACGGUUUCAUCAUUAGGGAUGUUGAAUUAUCAGAAGAAAAAAAUGCAAGGCUUUGAAAGUUGUUUGAAAAGACUUGAUUUCAUGAAGAACAUAAAUUAUUUAAGCUGAGUAAAAGACCUGACUCACAUGCUCUCCUUUUUGAACUUUUUACAAGUAUGACAGCAACAACAAUAACAACAAUUAUCCAAUAUAGUUCCAUAAAGUGGGGUCUGGGAGGGUAGAGCUGUUUCCAAUCGACUUAUUACAAGUAUGACCUUUUUUCUAAAUAUAUAAGAAAAGACAGAGUAGAAUGUUUGGGUGAAGUGAACAACGCUCAUAAGUGUAUAAAGUAGAGAUUAAAUAAAGAAAAAAUGCUCAUGUUCUACAAAUGAAAUACAUUGAAAAAUUUCUUAAAACUCAAUAUUUCAAAAGGAACAGAAUCCAUCUUCAAACUCAAAAUCCAAGUAAAUUCAACCUAAAAGAAGCCUUUUUAUACAAUUACUGAACUCAAGAUACCCAAUAUAAUAUCGAGCAUGCAAUCACAAUAACAACACCAAAAGGUCUAGAAUUUCAAAAAACGAAAAAAGAAAAAAACUUUCAGCUUACCUAAGAGAAAACUGAGAUAGGACCGUCAAGAUCGAGAAUUGAAAAAAUAUAGGAAUGAAACUUCAAAAACUUCGGACGGUUUGGAACAACGUACCCUCGUAAUGCUUUUCAAACUUCAUAUUUUCCUCAUUCCUUCUUUAGCUUCAGACCACUGUCGGUUCCUCUAGAUUGCAAAUGGGUCGGAAAAUUUGAGGUAAAAUUAGAGAAUACAUUUACCACAAAAAAAGGAAUUGAGAUUUGAACAUAUACUUGAUCGAAUCAAAAUUUGUAAUUAGGGUUUUUGAAUCUCUACCAUAUGGUUCAUAUUUUGUGAUUUGAGUAGAUAGAUUUGAGACAUUUGAGGUUUUCGACUGUAGAGAACAUUGAGAAUUUUACAGAGAAGAGGGAGCAAACAAGUGGUACUGCAGAAAGAAAUCGAGCAAAGAGACAUUUGAUAAGUUUGAGGUUUUUGAUUAAGAAAU
rnacentral:lncRNA from 1 species